rnacentral:rRNA from 1 species
AGAGUUUGAUCCUGGCUCAGGACGAACGCUUGCGGCGUGCCUAAGAAAUGCAAGUCGAACGGGGGCUUCGGCCCCAGUGGCGAACGGUCGCGUAACACGUAAGCAACCUGCCCUGAAGUGGGGGACAACAUCCCGAAAGGGGUGCUAAUACCGCAUGUGGUCACGAGUCGGCAUCGACUUGUGUCUAAAGAUUUAUCGCUUCAGGAUGGGCUUGCGGCCUAUCAGGUAGUUGGUGGGGUAAUGGCCUACCAAGCCGACGACGGGUAGCUGGUCUGAGAGGACGAUCAGCCGGAUUGGGACUGAGAUACGGCCCAGACUCCUACGGGGGGCAGCAAUUAGGAAUCUUGCGCAAUGGGGGAAACCCUGACGCAGCGACGUCGCGUGAAGGAUGAAGGCCCUCGGGUCGUAAACUUCUUUUGAGUGGGAAGAAAUUUGACGGUACCACUCGAAUAAGCCCCGGCUAACUACGUGCCAGCAGCCGCGGUAAUACGUAGGGGGCGAGCGUUGUCCGAAGUUACUGGGCGUAAAGCGCGCGUAGGCGGUUAUUUAAGUCUGGGGUGAAAGGUUCAGCGCUCAACGUGAACAGUGCCUUGGAUACUGGAUGACUUGAGUCUGGGAGGGGGAAGGGGAAUUCCUGGUGUAGCGGUGAAAUGCGUAGAUAUCAGGAGGAACACCGGUGGCGAAGGCGCCUUCCUGGCCUAAGACUGACGCUGAGGUGCGAAAGCGUGGGGAGCAAACGGGAUUAGAUACCCCGGUAGUCCACGCCGUAAACGAUGAGUGCUAGGUGUCGGGGGUAUCGACCCCCCCGGUGCCGUCGCUAACGCAUUAAGCACUCCGCCUGGGGAGUACGGCCGCAAGGUUGAAACUCAAAGGAAUUGACGGGACCCCGCACAAGCGGUGGAGCAUGUGGAUUAAUUCGUCACUAACCGAAGAACCUUACCCAGGUUUGACAUCGAGGGUAAGACCAUGAAAGUGGUACCUCUAGCAAUAGACCCGAAGACAGGUGUUGCAUGGCUGUCGUCAGCUCGUGUCGUGAGAUGUUGGGUUAAGUCCCGCAACG